UUUUAAAUCAGCAUCAGUUUAAUUAUUCACAACCCAAAAGAAAAGAAAGAAAAAAAUGAUUUAACAAUCUACAGUCAUCAGUAUCAUCACACAAUUCCUCACCAUCAGAAGAACAGAUAAAUCCAUCUUUAAUGUUAUUUCCCUCUGAAUAAUAUUAAUGCUAGUCUCUAUUAAGACAUCUCCCUUUUGCUUUUUUUCUAAAACACUGUAAGACUAUUAUUAUUAUUACUGCCAUUCUCUCUCUCUGGGACACUGGAGUCCUCAGUACAAAGCCAUGUAUUUGUUGGGAUAUAAAAAGCUUGUCAUGCACAGAAUAUUUUCAGCAUCUCCGUCUGAAGAGAAGCUGCCUCGUAGUAUUGACUCAAAGCCAACUGAAACCAUCAAGAAACUGCCCUUUAAUACGGUCAGUAAAAGGUAAGACUCGACUACAGCACAGGUGAUACGGAACUAAAGAGUACGACAUCAGUACCGGAGGCGGCACAGCAACAGAACGUCAGCAGGUCUUACCCGACGCUUCAAAUCCAGACUGUGUCAGCUGGUGCCACCGUGUGGAGGUCUGUGGCGCUGAGCACUAACUUCAGGCUGACCGUGCACCUUCAUACGCCCGGUAGGGACAAAGCACCUGUGUUUGACCUGCUGACAGAUCUCAUUUUGGUUGGGUGUUGUAGGUAAACAAGGUCUAGUAAGGCUGCCCUUCAUUAUUGUUUAGAAAUAGGAUCUAAUGGCAUUAAAAUGAUGAGUCAGUCAUGUUUCUAUAUAAGCUUUCAAUGAGACCCACAUGGGCAGGAAACCUGUAGCUGGUUUCCAUCCACACGCAGCACAAAUGUGAGCAGAAUUUCAAGAAAAUCAGCAACUGAGGAAGUGAAUUAACGCCUCUCCUUCUCCACUGCCAUAUUGCCAGUACUAGGAGUUGGUUGGUCAAGGUAAACAGCGGGUGGCACAAAUGUUCCCAGCUGUACUACUAAACUGUUGCAGAAGAGGACACAAUGGGGUGAUGCACUUCAAAGCGUGCCAAAGAAUAUAAAGAAUAUAAUAUACUAUUGUGAAAAACAGUAACAGCUUCCUCAUUGUUUCACACAGACCAUGGCAAACAUCCAAUCUAACACAGCCAUCAGAUUCUUUUCUUUUUUUUGUCAGACUAUGGAGAUGUAGUUAUCCGUACUUACACAAAAUGAUUUGACAUUUCCAGAUGCAGCUUGAUAAUGCUUAAGGGGUGCCUUACUAGAAGCUGUUAACUUAUGUCUAAAACAACUGUAGUUAGGGUCUGUAGCUAGUAACACACAUAAACAGCCAACAAGUCUUCUUUUCUACACUUCUGUUGAUUUGAUUGUUUUAGUCUAAACAUCCAGGGGGCUGAUCAGGCUGUGAGAAUUACAGCCUACAGGCCGCUGACUGAAAGCCUCUCCAGUGUUUUUCUUGAUGCAACCAGUGUAUCACUGAUCCAUGACACUUUCUGUAACAUAAAACCCUUAUUCUGGAACUACACUGAUGGUUCAAACAAGAGUAAACAAACACUUAAAGAUCUCCAUGUUUGCUGUUCCAGUCACGUGUCUAGAGGCUCUUUGUUGGAAAAUGUGUAUUUAACAUUUCUGUUGCGAUGCUAGAAGUGACUGCACAUCACUCAUCAAUCAAUCAAUCGACAAAAGAAAAACCUUCUCUCUGGCUCUGAAUUCAUUAUCAGUAGGAUUUUGGGGACAUAUUUAAGUCCGGUAUCGUCUGCCAUCUUUUAGUAAUGGUUCAGAAAACACAGGUGUGCUGUUGCAAGUUUGUUUCUCACGUGGUUAGAUGAAGCCUGUCAAUGUUGUUAACGAAAGACAGCAGAACUACUCGUCUUUUUGCGGAGGCUACAUUACAGCCGGGCUCAGACUACAUGAUAUUUAUGUCAGAUUAGGCGAUAACAGAGUCAUCAGUUCUUGCAGUGACUUAGUAGAGAGGCACGACAACCUAUGCACUGAUCCGUCACCAGAAGGGAGGAGUCAGGAAAAUUUGUUGGGUUUCUCAACUUGUCAGACUGGUGCUAUAUACAUAACACUGAACUGAAACAAAAUGAAAACAACAGAGGCUAAAGCGAUGUGCAGGACACUGGAUUACUGGAUGUCGUGUUGGAAGCCUAAACAAAAGAAGAAGUGACUGUGGGCCUGUCGGUGGUUUAUGACCAGAGGACAGUUAAAAUAAUAAUAAUAACGAUCUUUUUGUCAGGAUGUAGUAAGCCAAGCUGAAGCACUUGCUCUCGUCCGCUAUGAUCAGAGUCGGUGUACAUAGAUGAACUGGUUUGAAGCCCAAUGCUGCAGCACACAAGUAGCGCCAACUAUUCUGUUAGGAGCCAGGACCGUCCAACUCCACUUGCUCACUUACAUGCCCUGGUAAACCAACUGACCUAAACGCUAACCAGCUGCCAUGUGCUAACAAUCAUCAUCAAGCACAAACUAAACUCAGUAUAAUAAUGCAUGACAGCAUCUUGAUAGGGAACCUAUUUAAUCACAAAAAAUGGUUUCUUCUUUAAAAAGAAGCUGCAAAAGCCAUCUUUCAAUCCCAGUUGUCAAUCAAUAGCCACGUGGAAAACGUCAAAAACACUCUAUCAGCCUUGGAAUCUUUUUAAAGCAGCAAUCAUUUCCAAAAUGACCACCAGCAUGCUUAGCAGAGGGACCGCAUUCAGCCAUCGAGACAAUCAUGGGCCAUUAAUAAAAACAGAAACAAAAAAAUAACCUAAUAUUUCAAGAGAGAAACUCUUUGAAGUUGAGAUAUUUGUUUCUUGCAAUAUGCAGCUAUGGUACUGCCAUGCUGGCUUCAGUCUUAAACUUUGGCAGCCACUUGACUAUGACGCCCACCAUGGAGUAAAACCACCAACCCUCAUGCUGUUGACGUCCUUUAUCUUCCAGGUGACGCCGAUAUCAUGUAGUCUGAACCUGGUGUAAGAGAGCACAGGCUGUCUUGAGAUCACUGAUUGGCUACCGGCCUGUACUGCACAUCACUCAUGACAAAACCGCAGCUCUGGGUAAAAUUAAUUCUGG